AUGCGAGAUGAGGCUGCGUGCGUACAUGCUGAAACACGGAUUUGUUUGAGACAAAAAGAAGAAGCAACCAGGACCACGUGUGUGCACGGGAGCAGUUUAGAGGGGUCAAGUUCGAUCUAUUUUUUCUGCUAUGAGGUGCACGGAGAAGCUGCAACAGCAAACAAAGACAAGAAAAGUUGUGCGGGUUGCAUGGAAGUUUUUCUGGGUGGGUUUGCUAAGAUGGCUUGGAACACGUGGACAGGCUGCGGAGGCGCACGGAUAAGUGCAUCAUGCAGGGUCAUGCAUACACAUGGCAUCUAA
rnacentral:rRNA from 1 species